GGUGUCGCCGCCGCGGUAAAACCAGCACCUCAAGUGGUCAGGAUGAUUAUUGGGCCUAAAGCAUCCGUAGCCUGCUUUGUAAGUUUUCGGUUAAAUCCAUAUGCUCAACAUAUGGGCUGCCGGGAAUACUGCAAAGCUAGGGAGUGGGAGAGGUAGACGGUACUCGGGAGGAAGGGGUAAAAUCCUUUGAUCUAUUGAUGACCACCUGUGGCGAAGGCGGUCUACCAGAACACGUCCGACGGUGAGGGAUGAAAGCUGGGGGAGCAAACCGGAUUAGAUACCCGGGUAGUCC
rnacentral:rRNA from 1 species